rnacentral:rRNA from 1 species
AUUGAACGCUGGCGGCAGGCCUAACACAUGCAAGUCGAGCGAGCGGCGGACGGGUGAGUAAUGCCUGGGAAACUGCCGGAUGGAGGGGGAUAACUACUGGAAACGGUAGCUAAUACCGCAUACCAUCAGAUGUUCCCAGAUGGGAUUGGCUAGUGGGUGUGGUAACGGCUCACCUUGGCGACGAUCCCGAGCUGGUCUGAGAGGAUGACCCGCCACACUGGAACUGAGACACGGUCCAGACUCCUACGGGAGGCAGCAGUGGGGAAUAUUGCGCAAUGGGCGAAAGCCUGAUGCAGCCAUGCCGCGUGGAUGAUGAAGGCUUUCGGGUUGUAAAUUACUUUCAGCGGGGAGGCGUUACCCGCAGAAGAAGCACCGGCUAACUACGUGCCAGCAGCCGCGGUAAUUC